rnacentral:rRNA from 1 species
GACAAACGCUGGCGGCAUGCCUAACACAUGCAAGUCGAACGGACAGAACAGGGAAGCUUUUCGGAGUGGAACUGGAAAGUUAGUGGCGGAUGGGUGAGUAACGCGUGGACAACCUACCUUGUAAAGGGGAAUAACCUCGAGAAAUCGAAGCUAAUACCCCAUAAUAACCUUGCUUCGCAUGAAGUAAGGAGGAAAGGCGGCCUUAGCGCUGUCGAUACAAGAUGGGUCCGCGUCUGAUUAGCUAGUUGGUGAGGUAAAGGCUCACCAAGGCGACGAUCUGUAGCCGGCCUGAGAGGGUGAACGGCCACAUUGGGACUGAGACACGGCCCAAACUCCUACGGGAGGCAGCAGUGGGGAAUCUUCCGCAAUGGGCGAAAGCCUGACGGAGCAAUGCCGCGUGAGUGAAGAAGGCCUUCGGGUUGUAAAACUCUGUCCUUAUCGAAGAGAGAGUGUUGUAGUAACUGACAAUACUAGGACGGUAGAUGAGGAGGAAGCCCCGGCUAACUAUGUG